ensembl:lncRNA
UAAAAGAUGACUUAAGUAUCCAAAAUUUGGUCAAGUUCAGCUGUCAACUACCAGAAGCCCAGCAUUCUUCUUGGAUCUGCUUUUCCCUGCUCAAGGCACACACAAAGAAACUUAGACUAUGGAAAUAAUACUAAGACAAAAAGCAAUUUAAGCGAUUUUCUUAUUUGAGUUCAAAAUGGGUUGUAAAGCAAAAGAGACAACUCACAACAGCACAUCUGGCCCAGGAACUUCUAAUGAACCUACAGUGCAAUGAUGGUUUGUUUAAGAAGUUUUGCAAAGGAAGAAAGAGCCUUGAAGAUGAGAAGUGCACAUCAGAAGUUGACAAAGACCAACUGAGAGCCAUCACUGAAACUGAUUCUCUUACAAGUACAUGAGAAAUUGCCAAGGAACUCCAUGUCGACCAUCCCUAUGGUCAUUCAGCAUUUGAAGCAAAUUGGAAAGGUGGGAAAGCUCGGUAAAUGGGUGCCUCAUGCACUGCCCACAAAAUCAAAAACUAUUGUUUUGAAGUAUUGCCUUCUCUUAUUCUAUGCAACAACAAACCAUUUCUCAAGAUUGUGACAUGAUGAAAAGUGGAUUUUAUAUGAUAACCAGUGAUGACCAGCUCAGUGGUUGGACUAAGAACCUCCAAAGCAGCUCUCAGAGCCAAACCUGCACCCAAAAAAGGUCAUGGUCACUGUUUGGUGGUCUGCUGCCAGUCUGAUGCACUACAGCUUUCUGAAUCUUGGCGAAACCAUUACAUUUGAGAAGUAUGCUCAGCAAAUUGACGUGAUGCACCAAAAACUGCAACUCCUACAGCUAGCAUUGGUCAACAGCCAGUAACUGCUUAAUAACUGCCAAGUUGCACAACCACUUCAAAAGCUGAAUGAAUUGGGCUAUGAAGUUUUGCCUCAGCCUCCUUAUUCACCUGACCUCUGGCCAACCAGAUACCACUUUGAGAAUCCUGAUGAUUUUUUUUGCAGGGAAUACACUCCCAUGACCAGCAGGAGGCAGAAAAUACUUUCCAAGAACUCGUUAAAUGCCAAGGCUUGGAUUUUUAUGCUAAGAAUAAACUUAUUUCUCGUUGGCAAAAAUGUGUUCAUUGUAAUCGUUCCUAUUUUGAUUAAUAAAGAUGUGUUUGACCCAAGGAAAUGGCAACCUACUCCAGUAUCCUUGCCUGGAAAAUCCCAUGGACAGAGGAGCCUGGUAGGCUAUGGUCUAGAGGGGUCGCAAAGAGUCGGACACAACUGAGCUAGUUCACUUUCACCCUAGUUACGACUUAAAAUUCAAGGUCCAAAACUGCAAUUGUAUUUGCA